UACGUAGGGGGCAAGCGUUGUCCGGAUUUAUUGGGCGUAAAGAGCGUGUAGGCGGCUUCACAGGUCCGCUGUGAAAACUCGAGGCUCAACCUCGAGCUGUCGGUGGAAACCGUGUGGCUAGAGUCCGGAAGAGGAGAGUGGAAUUCCCGGUGUAGCGGUGAAAUGCGCAGAUAUCGGGAAGAACACCCGUGGCGAAGGCGGCUCUCUGGGACGGUACUGACGCUGAGACGCGAAAGCGUGGGGAGCAAACGGG
rnacentral:rRNA from 1 species